AUUUUCGUCUUGUGCUUAAAUUGUGUUCAGAUUCUUUUGUUAACUAUUGUUAUAAAGGCUGGUUCGGGCACCUUGCAUUCAUAUCAACCUGACAGGCUUUCUCGAGCGAGCACCAGAAACAUCUGCGCCUCGCCAACUUUUUUAAGCAGGCAUCUUACAUUAUAAAUAUUAAAGAACCCUAAGUGCUCGCAGAUGUCCCUUUCGCAUUUUUCUCAAAUUAAGGAGCGCCACCAUCCCGUCAACACUUCAACCUAUACCAGGCCUAAGCUCGCCAUAUGCAUUUGAUUCGUCCAGCCUAUGGAUGCAGCCUCUAUUAAUGCAAUUUAACGAUAUUAAUAGCCGCUUUAGAUGAAUGUCUUCUAAUUGCACUAUGUUCACUUGCUAUUAAAUCGAAGACUGACACGUGACUUCCCAGAUGGACACAGACAGGCUUUCCCGAAUGAACACUUUUGUAAGCAUUUUGCAGAGCUCAAGAUCUUAACCUAUUAGCAAUUGUCUCUCUAUUCGCAGAAAGAAAUUAUCAGCAUUUGUAAAUAUUUUGAAAUUGUAGUGAGUCACAAGCGCUAUAGCAUUUUACAUUCAUUUUAAAAGCUAAAAGAAAACAGAAUUUUUAUAAGUAAUGUAUACUUAUGAAUUCAGUGCGCUGUCUUUGCAAACAUCGACAGCUUCAUUCAACUCGUUCUGCAAUCUUAUGGCAUAACAUUAAAAUCAAUCGAUGAGUCGCAAAUCUCAACAACCUUUCACAUUGAAAUUUUAGCACUCGUGAAAUAACAUUAAUUUACGACUAUUCAGAUUCGGUAUGCAAAUUGACAAGAUCGAUAGAUCGUUAAACUUGAGAUUUAUCAAUUGGCAUCGCACAUUUAUAUUAAGGUUUAUCACAGUAAACUUGGCAAGGCCAAGAAACAAAGCCAAUUUGUUUAGAUCUUUCGGCCGCCUUGCCAGAGAGAAUAAGUUAUUACACAUAAAUACUAAUCGGACGGCCUGAAACAAUUUUAUAAGGAAUUCAAUAACAGAAUGAAAUGUAGCUCGUUGCGGUUUUCGAGUGUGAAAGAAAACUGGACAAACAAAUAUUUUUCUAUCACUACCAAAAUCGAAAAUCGAACCCUAUAUUUUGUUUAUUGACAAGGACCUGGCUGAAUAUAAAUAGCUGGUGUUAUUUUUGUUUCAAACCAAAAAACAAUUUGGAACUUUUCGCGCAAUCAUAAUUGUAUAGAAUUCAAUAUAAAUCUAUGAACAUAAAAUGCUUUUUCAAAUAGAGUUUCCAAUUUAACUACCGCUUUAAUUCUCAUAUCUUUCCAUGCUUAAAGCAUCAAAUUCAAUAUAAAUAUAUCUUCUUAAGUUCUCUGUGAACUGAUUCAAGCGGCAGCCGCCAGGUGGCGCCACGCCGUGGGUGCUAUGCCAGGUGAAUGGCCAGUGCGAAUGAUUCUCAAUCUUACGAUUUCAUUGAAGACUUUGCCCAUAAAUCAAUUUAUUAAGUAUAUACUCGUAUAAGCAGAAAACAAAUAGAGGCAUGCAGCUCACACAGAUAUUAGCGGAAUUAUUUCGCGUGGGCGCCAAUUUUCCAUUCAUGCCAAGCCAAAUGAAAAUGCAAAUGAAAAUUCUACAAAUAACACGCCGAAGAUUUAAUACCCUUGUACGUGUGUUAAGUUAACUAGUAAAAGCUAAGCUACUUUAAAAAAUAUAAAAUAGAUUAUUGCACAAUUAA